GCGUGUUCCGGCCUCUCGUGCAGCUGUUUGGUCUCUCUGUGAAAGUGGGUUUUGGCUAAGUGUGCUGCAGGACAGGAGUCAAGGUGGCAAGUGUGAAAGCAAAGCAACAUGGCAGCCAACAGAGGCGGCGGACACUGAGGGUCAAGAGCGCUAUCAGUCCAUUGCCUUUCUGUAUGAACGGACCAGAAAUGGGGAAAUUUUGCGGGAUCGCCGUGCAGAGGAGCCUCCAGACGGAAGUCGUAAAAGAAAAAGUGGCAACAACACAGAAUGCAAUAACUCCUGAACAAUGACAUAUUUCACACAUCUCGGAUGGCGCUGAGUCCGCCCACAGGAGAGAGGUGGACCGGAGCUGAACGCCCAGAAGACAGUGGAGAUGAUCAUGGAAAGCCCUAUCACCCCCGUUCACCCUAAUUGACGACUCUCCCACCCCCUUCUCCAUUGUGGACUUCUUCCGUUUCUUGGGCACCACCAUCACCCAGGACCUCAAGUGGGAGCCGACCAUCAGCUCCCUCAUCAAGAAGGCCCAGCAGAGGUGGUACUUCCUGCGGCAGCUGAGGAAACUUAAGGCGCCGACGGAGAUGCUGGUGCAGUUCUACUCAGCAGUCAUCGAGUCCAUCUUCACCUCCUCCAUCACCGUGUGGUUCCCCGGCGCCACAGUCCAGGACAAACAUAGACUACGGCGCAUGGUAGGUGCUGCUGAGAAGGUGAUUGGCUGCAAGCUCCCAUCCCUCCAGGACGUGUUCUACUCCAGGACCAGGAGACGUGUGGGUCGGAUAAAAGCUCGUCUCACCUUUUGAACUACGGUCCAUCCAGACCCACACCUCCCGCCACCUGAACAGUUUUUCCCCCUCGGCCAUCAGGCACGUGAACAAUAACAAGAUCUGAUAGCCCAGUCACAGCUCAUUUUUAUUACCUUCCGUGUUGUGUUUUUUAUGUUGCACGAUCGCACCGAGAAAAAAAUCCUAGUUUGUGAACCUGUUCUCAAACAAUGGCAAUAAAAACUAUUCUGAUUCUGA